AGUGAACGCUGGCGGUAGGCCUAACACAUGCAAGUCGAACGGCAGCACAGUAAGAGCUUGCUCUUACGGGUGGCGAGUGGCGGACGGGUGAGGAAUACAUCGGAAUCUACUUUUUCGUGGGGGAUAACGUAGGGAAACUUACGCUAAUACCGCAUACGACCUACGGGUGAAAGCAGGGGAUCUUCGGACCUUUCGCGAUUGAAUGAGCCGAUGUCGGAUUAGCUAGUUGGCGUGGUAAAGGCCCACCAAGGCGACGAUCCGUAGCUGGUCUGAGAGGAUGAUCAGCCACACUGGAACUGAGACACGGUCCAGACUCCUACGGGAGGCAGCAGUGGGGAAUAUUGGACAAUGGGCGAAAGCCUGAUCCAGCCAUACCGCGUGAGUGAAGAAGGCCUUCGGGUUGUAAAGCCCUUUUGUUGGGAAAGAAAAGAAGCAGGUUAAUACCCCGCUGUUCUGACGGUACCCAAAGAAUAAGCACCGGCUAACUUCGUG
rnacentral:rRNA from 1 species